GCGAACGGGUGAGUAACACGUGGGCAAUCUGCCCUUCACUCUGGGACAAGCCCUGGAAACGGGGUCUAAUACCGGAUAAUACCCUGUCCCUCCUGGGACGGGGUUGAAAGCUCCGGCGGUGAAGGAUGAGCCCGCGGCCUAUCAGCUUGUUGGUGGGGUAAUGGCCUACCAAGGCGACGACGGGUAGCCGGCCUGAGAGGGCGACCGGCCACACUGGGACUGAGACACGGCCCAGACUCCUACGGGAGGCAGCAGUGGGGAAUAUUGCACAAUGGGCGAAAGCCUGAUGCAGCGACGCCGCGUGAGGGAUGACGGCCUUCGGGUUGUAAACCUCUUUCAGCAGGGAAGAAGCGAAAGUGACGGUACCUGCAGAAGAAGCGCCGGCUAACUACGUGCCAGCAGCCGCGGUAAUACGUAGGGCGCAAGCGUUGUCCGGAAUUAUUGGGCGUAAAGAGCUCGUAGGCGGCUUGUCACGUCGGAUGUGAAAGCCCGGGGCUUAACCCCGGGUCUGCAUUCGAUACGGGCAGGCUAGAGUGUGGUAGGGGAGAUCGGAAUUCCUGGUGUAGCGGUGAAAUGCGCAGAUAUCAGGAGGAACACCGGUGGCGAAGGCGGAUCUCUGGGCCAUUACUGACGCUGAGGAGCGAAAGCGUGGGGAGCGAACAGGAUUAGAUACCCUGGUAGUCCACGCCGUAAACGUUGGGAACUAGGUGUUGGCGACAUUCCACGUCGUCGGUGCCGCAGCUAACGCAUUAAGUUCCCCGCCUGGGGAGUACGGCCGCAAGGCUAAAACUCAAAGGAAUUGACGGGGGGCCCGCACAAGCAGCGGAGCAUGUGGCUUAAUUCGACGCAACGCGAAGAACCUUACCAAGGCUUGACAUAUACCGGAAAGCAUCCAGAGAUGGUGCCCCCCUUGUGGUCGGUAUACAGGUGGUGCAUGGCUGUCGUCAGCCUCGUGUCGUGAGAUGUUGGGUUAAGUCCCGCAACGAGCGCAACCCUUGUUCUGUGUUGCCAGCAUGCCCUUCGGGGUGAUGGGGACUCACAGGAGACUGCCGGGGUCAACUCGGAGGAAGGUGGGGACGACGUCAAGUCAUCAUGCCCCUUAUGUCUUGGGCUGCACACGUGCUACAAUGGCCGGUACAAUGAGCUGCGAUGCCGCGAGGCGGAGCGAAUCUCAAAAAGCCGGUCUCAGUUCGGAUUGGGGUCUGCAACUCGACCCCAUGAAGUCGGAGUUGCUAGUAAUCGCAGAUCAGCAUUGCUGCGGUGAAUACGUUCCCGGGCCUUGUACACACCGCCCGUCACGUCACGAAAGUCGGUAA
rnacentral:rRNA from 1 species